rnacentral:rRNA from 1 species
AGUGAACGCUGGCGGUAGGCCUAACACAUGCAAGUCGAACGGCAGCACAGGAGAGCUUGCUCUCUGGGUGGCGAGUGGCGGACGGGUGAGGAAUACAUCGGAAUCUACUCUUUCGUGGGGGAUAACGUAGGGAAACUUACGCUAAUACCGCAUAGGACCUACGGGUGAAAGCAGGGGACCUUCGGGCCUUGCGCGAUUGAAUGAGCCGAUGUCGGAUUAGCUAGUUGGCGGGGUAAAGGCCCACCAAGGCGACGAUCCGUAGCUGGUCUCAGAUGAUGAGCAGUCACACUGGAACUGAGACACGGUCCAGAUUCCUACGGGAGGCAGCAGUGGGGAAUAUUGGACAAUGGGCGGAAGCCUGAUCCAGCCAUACCGCGUGGGUGAAGAAGGCCUUCGGGUUGUAAAGCCCUUUUGUUGGGAAAGAAAUCCAGCUGGCUAAUACCCGGUUGGGAUGACGGUACCCAAAGAAUAAGCACCGGCUAACUUCGUGCCAGCCGCCGCAGUAA